GACGAACGCUGGCGGCGUGCUUAACACAUGCAAGUCGAACGGAAAGGCCCUGCUUUUGUGGGGUGCUCGAGUGGCGAACUGGUGAGUAACACGUGAGUAACCUGUCCCUGACUUUGGGAUAACUUCAGGAAACUGGGGCUAAUACCGGGUAGGAGCUCUUGCUGUUUGGUGGGGGCUGGUUAGUUUAGGCGGUUGGGGAUGGACUCGCGGCCCGUCAGAUUGUUGGUUGGGUAGUGGCUUACCAAGGCUUUGACGGGUAGCCGGGCUGGUAGGGGAGGCUGACACGUUAGGACUGGAAUGAGACACGGACUAGAACGGGACGCAGCGGAGGGGAAUGUAGCAUAGUGGACUGAGGCCUAGUGCGACAAAGCCACGUGCGGGAAGACGGCCUUCGGGUUGUAAACCGCUUUCGCCUGUCACGAGACGUGAAUGACGGUAAUGGGUGAAGAAGCACCGGCUAACUACGUG
rnacentral:rRNA from 1 species